AUGGCGUCCCCCGCGUCUGCCGCCAAGUCCGAUCUGGAGGGCUUCUUUAAUCCGCUUGAUCUCAAUGAAGAGGAGUUCGAGGACGUUGUGAUUGACGAGGAAGACCCAUAACUCUAGGAAAGUACUAGAUGGCUUGCCCUAGCUAGGGUUCAUACUGAGAAAACCUUUAGUAAAUCGACAUUUUACAAGGACAUGAGAGCUGCGUCGAAUCCGAUGCAGCGGGUAAGAUUCCGUCCGGUCUGCCCCAAUCGCUUCAUCGUGCAGGCGUCGUGCUUGGGGGAUUGGGAGCGAAUUACGCUACAGGGACCGUGGCUGCUUCGUAACUGGGCAGUGUUACUAUGCCCAUAUGAUGGUUUUACUGAAACAGAGGAGGUUAGCAUUGUUCAUAUGCCUAUUUGGCUGCAAAUCCACAAGCUACCGGACGGGUAUUGCAGACAUGAUCUGAUUGUCAAGUUGCUCCGUUCUGCGGGAGAGGUCCUUGAAACUAGGCUUAAUGGUAACUCCGGAGGGGAUUACGUCCAGGUCAGAGUGAAACAUGACAUCAGGAAGCCUCUCACCAAAUUUGUGAGCAUUGUCAAGGGUGAAGCACGUAAGGUUUAUGCAGUAAGAUAUGAAAAGCUGGCAAGAUUCUGUAGUGCAUGUGGUAUCAUUGGCCAUGGGCAUAAGGAGUGUGGUAAUGGUGUGUUUGCUGAGAAGGAUCUCAAGUUUGGUGAUUACCUCUACGCUGACCCUCCGGCACAAGCUCGCUCGGACUGGGAAGCAAGGAGGGGAGAGAAGAAGACUUACACUGAACCACCGGUUUCUAAGUCUGUUGCGGGCAAGGGAGAAGUCAGGAUGGAUAGAGAGCUGAAGGAUACGACAUCUAGCCCUAUAAAAACUUCCCUGUCUCGUGAUAUAGAAUUGGAUAAAUCUUCUCGUAAGCGUCUCAACAUGGAUGGUGGCAUAGAAACACUUGGGACAACUACACCCUCUGCUGCGCACAGGGAAGUAUUGUUGCUUACAGACGGGAAAGGUGAUGGAGAACCGGAAUCGCCUACUAAUAGUUCCGGAAGCAAACGUGCAAAACGAGAUGGUGAGACCUCAAACUCAGAGAAAAUUUUGGCGGGCUCCCAGGAGGAGCGCCGCCAGUCCCAAUGA
rnacentral:rRNA from 1 species